rnacentral:rRNA from 1 species
GCUGGCGGCGUGCCUAAUACAUGCAAGUCGAGCGAACGGACGAGAAGCUUGCUUCUCUGAUGUUAGCGGCGGACGGGUGAGUAACACGUGGAUAACCUACCUAUAAGACUGGGAUAACUUCGGGAAACCGGAGCUAAUACCAGAUAAUAUUUUGAACCGCAUGGUUCAAAAGUGAAAGACGGUCUUGCUGUCACUUAUAGAUGGAUCCGCGCUGCAUUAGCUAGUUGGUAAGGUAACGGCUUACCAAGGCAACGAUGCAUAGCCGACCUGAGAGGGUGAUCGGCCACACUGGAACUGAGACACGGUCCAGACUCCUACGGGAGGCAGCAGUAGGGAAUCUUCCGCAAUGGGCGAAAGCCUGACGGAGCAACGCCGCGUGAGUGAUGAAAGUCUUCGGAUCGUAAAACUCUGUUAUUAGGGAAGAACAUAUGUGUAAGUAACUGUGCACAUCUUGACGGUACCUAAUCAGAAAGCCACGGCUAACUACGUGCCAGCAGCCGCGGUAAUACGUAGGUGGCAAGCGUUAUCCGGAAUUAUUGGGCGUAAAGCGCGCGUAGGCGGUUUUUUAAGUCUGAUGUGAAAGCCCACGGCUCAACCGUGGAGGGUCAUUGGAAACUGGAAAACUUGAGUGCAGAAGAGGAAAGUGGAAUUCCAUGUGUAGCGGUGAAAUGCGCAGAGAUAUGGAGGGACACCAGUGGCGAAGGCGACUUUCUGGUCUGUAACUGACGCUGAUGUGCGAAAGC